rnacentral:rRNA from 1 species
GGAGGGGGUUAGCGUUGUUCGGAAUUACUGGGCGUAAAGCGUACGUAGGCGGAUUAAUAAGUUAGAGGUGAAAUCCCAGGGCUCAACCCUGGAACUGCCUUUAAAACUGUUAGUCUUGAGAUCGAGAGAGGUGAGUGGAAUUCCAAGUGUAGAGGUGAAAUUCGUAGAUAUUUGGAGGAACACCAGUGGCGAAGGCGGCUCACUGGCUCGAUACUGACGCUGAGGUCCGAAAGUGUGGGGAGCAAACAGGAUUAGAUACCCUGGUAGUCCACACGUAACCGAUGAAUGU